rnacentral:rRNA from 1 species
UACGUAGGUGACAAGCGUUGUCCGGAAUUAUUGGGCGUAAAGCGCACGUAGGCGGCUUCGCAAGUCAGGGGUGAAAGCCCGGGGCUCAACCCCGGAACUGCCUUUGAGACUGCGUCGCUUGAAUCCGGGAGAGGCGGGUGGAAUUCCGAGUGUAGAGGUGAAAUUCGUAGAUAUUCGGAAGAACACCAGUGGCGAAGGCGGCCCGCUGGACCGGUAUUGACGCUGAGGUGCGAAAGCGUGGGGAGCAAACAGG